GUCUACAGUCAUGCCACCCUGAACAAGCCCAAUCCCAUCUGAUCUUGGAAGCUAAGCAGGGUUGGGCCUGGUUAGUACUUGGAUGGGAGACCACCUAAGAAGACCAGGUGCUGUAGGCG
rnacentral:rRNA from 1 species